GUGCUUGCUUCAGCAGCACAUAUACUAAGUUUGGAAUAAUAUACAGACGAUUAGCAUGGCCCUUAAACAAGAUUUGCAAAUUUUUGAAGUGUUCCAUAUUUUU
rnacentral:snRNA from 1 species